CCAAGAGAGAAAAUCGGUGAGGCAUUGGAGCAAGAGAGCUUUACGCGUUACCCCGUUUGUGUUUAAUUAUUCACCAUUGAUUUCAAUAUCAUUAUCAUUUUCUCUGGGUAUAUUUUACUUUUCACUUUUUAAUCCAACUCUAGUUAAGAUAUUCCCAUUUUCUUUUUUAUUUUCUUUUAAAGAUAUUUCUCGCAUCCCACCCCAACCCCACCACCGCAGUCCCUACCUUUAACUUGUUAAAUAUAUUUAUAUUAUUUUUAGGAAGACAAAAUGAAGUUUUAAUUUCUUGCCUUGAACUAGUAUAGACUAGAGACAUAUGACACAUCCUUGUUUUGAAGAAGACCGUCCAGGAUGAACAACAUGUUGAUUAUGUGCUCCUCCUUGGGUUGAGGGGUGGAUUUACAUAUGCAUAUUUCCAACAGUUUUUUUUCCCCUCAGAAAGAGAAGAGGGAUCAAAAGUCCCUUUGAAAAUUCUCCAUUGCGUCGUUGGAAUUCAAUGAAAGCUUCUGGGUUCAAUCAAAUUAUGAGAUAGUAAUGAAUUUCCAGCAGCUGCUUGCUGGGUUAGCUCAAGUCCGUCCCUCUCUUUCUCUCACACCACCACCACUUCAUUCGGUUCUUAAACAAUCCUUGCCAUAUUCUUUUGGCAUCGUUCAAAGUAAACAUGUGGAUGCAAUUAAAAGGAAUUAGAAAUUUUAUUAUUUGAAUAUGUUAUUCUUAGCAUUGUAUGUAGGUAAAAGAAUCUUUUUGUCCAGAAAGUUUUGUGCUUUGAUCAAAAGUGCUUUUGCUUUAAUACAAGAAGAAGAUAUCUUGUUGUCACAGUCGUCUCAGUUUGUAUUUUUCUUAAGCAUAAAGGCUUCAACUUUUCAAUUGGAAUUUGGAUGUGUAUAUGCUUUUCUUGUGACAAGAGGGAAACAUUGUCCUUCUCGUCCCUACGAGGCUAUGAGGCUAUGAGGCUAUGACUAAGAAAAAAGAAAAGUGGUUGAUGUCGUGUGUUUAGUGUAGGCCAUGGUAAAAUGGUGGAUGUUCAGUUGAAGGGAAGUGCUUGUAGGAUUAAGAAGUGUGCCUUGGAGUUGCUGUCGAUUGGGAGCGAUCUGAUGAACGAGGGUCAGUCGUCGUGGGAGUUGUUGGGAAGGGAUCUGCGCCUGAAAUCCACAUUCUUGUAUUGUGAUCUUAAUCAGAUGAUCUCUUGUGCACCAAGGGAACAGAAGAGGGCCCUCACAGAACUUGCCAACAAAUUGUUUUGCUCCAUUGAAGAGUUGGAUCAUGCAAUGAAAAUUCGUAGCGUUCCUUUGACCCAAGAUCGAUACAAUCAGGCUGCUGUCGUCUUACAGGAGGUGAUGGCUCUCGCGCCUUAAACACGACACGUCGUCGCCUUAAAUUGGUGUCCACUAGUACAGUACAACAAUUUCAUCUGUAAAUAAAAGUUUUAUCCUCAAGGUAUAUUUUUUGUUUUGGUGGUGGUUGUUUUUGUUACACUAUAUAUAUAGGACAUGUUUGUGUCGGGU